CUUCAUCCAAUUCCCCCUCCCUAACACCCUCCUCCCACCUCCACCUCCAGUAAUAACAAAUCUGAUCUCUUUUUCUAUAACUUCGUUCAUUUGUUUUUUACAGUACAAUUGACCUACAACACUAUGUUAGUUCCUGAUACACAACAUAGUGAUUCAACAGUUCUAUACACUACAAAAUAAUCAUCACAGUCUAGUUACCAUCUUACACAAUACAAAGAUAUUAUAUUAUUAUUGGCUACAUUCCCCACACUCUACAUUUCAUCCCCAUGACUCAUUUAUUUGGUAACUGCAAGUUUGUAGUACCAUUUUUAAAAGAAAAAUUAGUUGGAAGAGAAUACAAAACGGUAACAGAAGUACUUUAUUCAUGGUGGAAUUACUGAUGAUCUUUAUAUUUUUUGUUGUAUUUUUAUGUAUUUUCCAAAUUCUCAACAAUCAGAAAGAAACGUUACUUUUUAAUUAAGAGUAUAUUUUACGUAAUUUUAACCUUCAUCGUGGUUCAACAGACAUCCUUACUUAGGCUUAAUCUUCACAUAACUUUGAGAAGUGUUUAUUUAGUUCAAUUCAACAAAUGUUUAUCAAACACCGACUAUGUGUAAAGCAGAGUGUCAUAAAAAAAAGUGAUAUGCUAUCAAUUUACUUUCUUACAUUGGCGCUUUUCAAAAAACUUGGCUCUGAAGUUGUCUCUUGCAGUGAUAGUUCAUGGAAGAAGCCAUAGACCUCAGUGAAUAUAUAUGUAUUUAGAGUGUGUGUGCGUGUGUGUGUGUGUAUGUGUGUAUGUGUGAGGCAUGUUUGAGUUGCAAUAAAGUUUAAUCCAGGGCUUCCCUGGUGGCGCAGUGGUUGAGAGUCUGCCUGCCGAUGCAGGGGACAUGGGUUCGUGCCCCGGUCCGGGAAGAUCCCACAUGCCGUGGAGCGGCUAGGCCCAGCCUGUGCUCCGCAACAGGAGAGGCCACAGCAGUGAGAGGCCCACAUACCGCAAAAAAAUAAAAAUAAUAAAAAUUUAAAAAUGGUCUUA